UCAAAGACGUGAUCACAGGUGAUGCAUGGCUGUCGUCAGCUCGUGUCGUGAGAUGUUGGGUUAAGUCCCGCAACGAGCGCAACCCCUAUCCUUAGUUGCCAGCACAUUAUGGUGGGGACUCUAAGGAGACUGCCUAGGAUAACUAGGAGGAAGGUGGGGAUGAUGUCAAGUCAGUAUGUCCCUUAUGUCCAGGGCUACACACGUGUUACAAUGGUUAGUACAAAGGGUUGCAAAGCCGUAAGGUUGAGCCAAUCCCAAAAAACUAAUCUCAGUUCGGAUUGGAGUCUGCAACUCGACUCCAUGAAGUCGGAAUCGCUAGUAAUUGUGGAUCAGAACGCUACGGUGAAUACGUUCCCGGGUCUUGUACACACCGCCCGUCACGCCAUGGAAGUCAGCAGUACCCGAAUCGGGUGGCCUAACCUUCGGGAGGGAGCUCGUUAAGGUAAGGCUGGUAACUGGGGCGAAGUCGUAACAAGGUAGCCGUACCGGAAGGUGCGGCUGGAUCACCUCCUUUCUAAGGAGUACUGUGAAGAAAUUUACAGGACGGUCGAAAUUGAAUCAACAGACUCACUUGCAUACCAAAAUAUUGGGCUUGUAGCUCAGGUGGUUAGAGCGCUGCCCUGAUAAGGCAGAGGUCCGUGGUUCGAGUCCACGCAGGCCCACCAUUUAGCUGCAGUCAAGAAAUUGGGACUUUAGCUCAGUUGGGAGAGCGCCUGAUUUGCAUUCAGGAGGUCAUCGGUUCGAUCCCGGUAAGCUCCACAAGAUUUUUGCUUUUUGAAAAUUGGGAAAUUGGAUAACUGACAUUAUUUUUAAUAAUAGAUGUAGCCAAGUCAUCUUCAAGAAAGACACUUUAGUAAAGCUACUAAGGGCGUACGGGGGAUGCCUAGGCACAUGGAGGCGAUGAAGGACGUGAUAAGCUGCGAAAAGCUUC
rnacentral:sRNA from 1 species